UACGGAGGGUGCAAGCGUUAUCCGGAUUCACUGGGUUUAAAGGGUGCGUAGGUGGUUGGUAAGUCAGUGGUGAAAUCCCCGAGCUUAACUUGGGAACUGCCAUUGAUACUAUCAAUCUUGAAUACUGUGGAGGUCAGCGGAAUAUGUCAUGUAGCGGUGAAAUGCUUAGAUAUGACAUAGAACACCAAUUGCGAAGGCAGCUGGCUACACAAAUAUUGACACUGAGGCACGAAAGCGUGGGGAUCAAACAGG
rnacentral:rRNA from 1 species